rnacentral:lncRNA from 1 species
UUUUGGCUUUUCACAAGUUUUUAUUAGGUUAAAUACUAUCAAACCGUGGCGAGUCCGAGGCCCCUGCCUGGCCCGGGCAUGGCACAGCUGGCCAGCGGUUUGCAGCUGGAAGCAAGCUGUGUCCCCGGGACGCUCUGGCAGUGAAUGGGGCCAGGGUGGGUUUGGAGGCGGUGGGGGAUGAGGUGAGCUGGAGGCAGGGCUGAGCAGGGACGGGGGCUCCUGGACCGGGCACUCCUUGAGCUGCCGCCCCUCCGGAUGGAGACGGUCCCUCCUCACCCCACAUCAGGGCAACGGGGGACGGAGGAUCGGCUGGGCCCUCGUGCCGGCUGCUUCGGGCUCAAAGGAAGAGCGUCCCCGCGAGGGCCAGGAGACUGAGGUGCGCGGCCAGGCUCGAGGCUGGGGGCUGGGUGCCGCUCGAGGUCCUGCUCUGCAGGGCCUGGAGCUGCUGCAGCAGGUUCGAGAUCUGCGACUGGAGACUGCACCUGCCCCUCUGCACGUCCUCCAGCUGCUGCCUUUGCUGUGCCAACUCCUCCUUGAGCUCCCUGUUCUCCUCUGCGRGGAGGCGAGAGCAUCCCGGGGUCAACGCGGCCCGGGGCAUCGGCGCAUCCCAGGGGACGGGGACCAAGGUGUGCCAGGGUCUUCGCCCGGGCCCCGAGCCCCCGCCACGCAGCUCGCCCCAUCCCGCCUGCCCCGGCGCUCACCUUGCAGCGCGGCCGUCCUGGCCCCCUGCUCCGAUCCCUGGCGCCACAGCAGCGCCAGCGCCUGCUCCAGGGCCGUGACGUUCCUCUGCAAGGUGUCCUGCGGGGACGCGGGGAGAGAAGGGACGCGCCACUGCCGGGGGGGGGCUGCGCUUCAGGCACCGAAGCGCCCUGGCACUAGCGAAACGCCCAGCGGCCGAGGAGCAGCCUGGGCUGCUCCGGCGUCCCCGCUCUCCGCGCAGCAGCAGCAGCAGCCGCCCGGGCACCUACCAGGUGCAGCCUGCAGCUGUCCCAGCGCCCGCGCGUCUCCUCCAGGGACCGUUUGACGCUGCCCAGCUCCGCCUGCAGCGCGGCCACCUGCGCCAUCGCCUGGUCCCAGCCGGGCCCCCGUGCCGCCGCCAGCGUGCCGUUCCCCACGCAGCCCCCGCACCGCGCCAGCCCCUGCGCCGCGGCCGGCAGGCAGAGCACCAGGAGGAGGGUCACCACCAGGACCGCUGUGAUCACCCCGCCGGCGAGGGCGAUGCGCUUCCAGGCUCGCAUCCCUUCUGGGGAACCCAUGGACUUGCCUGGGCAAAAACCUCCUGCACAGGAGGCCGGGGAGGGGCUUCGAGCUUUUCUGCAAAACUGAGUUGUUUUGUUUCUCGGAUAAAGGAUCUUUCCAGGA